rnacentral:lncRNA from 1 species
CCACAAGUUAUGUGGAAGUUCUCAUACCGAAGAGUGUCAGUGUGGAUGAAUCCGCAUGUAUCAUUUCUGCAAAUCAUUGCCACAGUCAUCCUCCAUCGAUAGAUAGUUUCAUCAUCUAUAUCCUUUUCUUCAUUCUCUUUUCAAAGGAAUCGAGUUGAUAUUUAAGACCUAAGACUCAGAAGGGCCAGCUAGUCACAAAUAAUGCACCAAAUCAGACAGCAAUACGAAUCCUAGCAAAGGAAUUUAAAUGAACCAGCCAAGUAGGUUAAAGCUCAAAAACCCUAAGGGAACCUUAAAACUCAGUGCCAAACUCUCGGCGGCGCAAUAAGCUGCUUGCUCGACAGAUUCUGAACCAAGCGAAGAGCCCACCACAUGAUAACGACAACAAAAGCGAAGAUUGAGGAAAGGAGAACAAGGGAGAAAGGAUACGGUGUCCGGGAAUGGCGAUCUCGAGUAUUGACGGCGAGGGGAUUAGCGUUGCAGAUGGACUCGACCGUGGUGAGGUCCCCGUUCCUCGCGGCGGCGUGGAGAUCGGAAGAUUCGCUGCCCCCCUUCGGUAAUCGGUUCUUCCUCCUCGA